UACGUAGGGUGCAAGCGUUAAUCGGAAUUACUGGGCGUAAAGCGUGCGCAGGCGGUUAUGUAAGACAGGUGUGAAAUCCCUGGGCUUAACCUGGGAACUGCAUUUGUGACUGCAUAGCUAGAGUACGGUAGAGGGGGAUGGAAUUCCGCGUGUAGCAGUGAAAUGCGUAGAUAUGCGGAGGGACACCGAUGGCGAAGGCAAUCCCCUGGACCUGUACUGACGCUCAUGCACGAAAGCGUAGGGAGCAAACAGG
rnacentral:rRNA from 1 species